UAUCUCAGCAAUGUAUCGGGUAGAUGG
rnacentral:piRNA from 1 species